rnacentral:tRNA from 1 species
ACCUAGCUGGCUCAGUCAGUGGAGCAUGUGACUUUUGAUCUCAGGGAUGUGAGUUCCAGUCCCACAUUGGGCA